rnacentral:rRNA from 1 species
AGAGUUUGAUCCUGGCUCAGGAUGAACGCUAGCUACAGGCUUAACACAUGCAAGUCGAGGGGAAACGACAUCGAAAGCUUGCUUUUGAUGGGCGUCGACCGGCGCACGGGUGAGUAACGCGUAUCCAACCUGCCCACCACUUGGGGAUAACCUUGCGAAAGUAAGACUAAUACCCAAUGAUAUCUCUAGAAGACAUCUGAAAGAGAUUUAAAGAUUUAUCGGUGAUGGAUGGGGAUGCGUCUGAUUAGCUUGUUGGCGGGGUAACGGGCCCCACCCAAGGCAACGAUCAGUAGGGGUUCUGAGAGGAAGGUCCCUCCACAUUGGAACUGAGACACGGUCCAAACUCCUACGGGAGGCAGCA